GACGAACGCUGGCGGCGUGCUUAACACAUGCAAGUCGAGCGGUAAGGCUCCUUCGGGAGUACACGAGCGGCGAACGGGUGAGUAACACGUGAGUAACCUGCCCUUCUCAUCGGAAUAAGCGUUGGAAACGACGUCUAAUGCCGAAUAUGACAACGGAUCGCAUGAUCUGUUGUGGAAAGCUCCGGCGGAGAAGGAUGGACUCGCGGCCUAUCAGCUUGUUGGUGAGGUAAUGGCUCACCAAGCCUACGACGGGUAGCCGGCCUGAGAGGGUGACCGGCCACACUGGGACUGAGACACGGCCCAGACUCCUACGGGAGGCAGCAGUGGGGAAUAUUGCACAAUGGGCGCAAGCCUGAUGCAGCAACGCCGCGUGAGGGACGACGGCCUUCGGGUUGUAAACCUCUUUUAGCAGGGAAGAAGCGAAAGUGACGGUACCUGCGGAAAAAGCACCGGCUAACUACGUGCCAGCAGCCGCAGUAAAAC
rnacentral:rRNA from 1 species